rnacentral:rRNA from 1 species
AUUGAACGCUGGCGGCAUGCUUUACGCAUGCAAGUCGAACGGUAACAGGCCGCAAGGUGCUGACGAGUGGCGAACGGGUGCGUAAUGCAUCGGAACGUGCCCAGUCGUGGGGGAUAACUACUCGAAAGAGUAGCUAAUACCGCAUACGAUCUAUGGAUGAAAGCGGGGGGCCGUAAGGCCUCGCGCGAUUGGAGCGGCCGAUGUCAGAUUAGGUAGUUGGUGGGGUAAAGGCUCACCAAGCCAACGAUCUGUAGCUGGUCUGAGAGGACGACCAGCCACACUGGGACUGAGACACGGCCCAGACUCCUACGGGAGGCAGCAGUGGGGAAUUUUGGACAAUGGGCGCAAGCCUGAUCCAGCAAUGCCGCGUGCAGGAAGAAGGCCUUCGGGUUGUAAACUGCUUUUGUACGGAACGAAACGGCUCUGGUUAAUACCCGGGGCUAAUGACGGUACCGUAAGAAUAAGCACCGGCUAACUACGUG